GGGAUUCAAGGCUGUUGGAGGAGAUUCUGCAAAAGAGAGAGUGCAGAGAGUUUUUUUUUAAGGGAGUUUUGAGCUGCUGUGAGGUGGGUGACUUCACUUGCUAGAAGAAGGAGACUCAGGUAUGAUUUCCAUAGCUAUGUUUAUUUUUCCAUGUUCAUGCCCCUUUCAUGGUGAUAUCUGAAUAUCAAAUGAGGUUCUAUCUGGAUAUUUGAACGUAUUUACUGAGUAUUUUCGUUGGUUUUUGGGAUCUUGAGCUUGCUUGUACUCACCCUUUUGCUUGAUUUCUAUCCCGUUUCAAUGUCCCCUGUUUUGAGAUCUCUCAUGAGAUUCCCACCUUUGUUUUCGUUUUAAAACUCGUUUUUGAAUUUUUAUUUUUAUUUUUAUUUUUCUUGAACUGAUUUUAUAUCCGAGCUCAUUGAGGGUAUGGGAAAUGAGACUUGUAUGAACUCAUUUGGUUCCCAUCUGCUGUACUCUGUUCUGGCUAUAUUCCUCUGUUUUUAGGACCCAUUUGUAUCAUGCAUCAGAUCUUCCACUUUCGCCUGAUGAAGAAGGGUAUUAUGAGGUGCGUGAUCAUGUUGGUUUGGUCCUUGUGCUUUCCUGUACCGAGAUGAGUCAAUUUUCAAGAGGAGAAGGGUAUAAAGAUGGGAUUAAUCAUGAAUGAGGGUGGUGUGGUAUGUGAUGGUGCUCGUGGUUUUAGACCUAAGUCUCUACAUGUUGACACGGAUGAAAUCUAUAGGGCUAUCACUAUGAGAAAAUGCAAGGAAAUCCCGAAGAAAUUGAAAGGCAUGAACCAGAGAUGAGGAGUUGGGGAUGUUAAACCUAUUGGCUGCCAUACCUCACGUCCAUCCAACCCGUAUACCAUGUAUCCAACCCAUGGUUCAAAGUCGCGGUAUCGGUCACUGACUCGGAGGGUCCCGAGGCGUAUCGGUCUCGGUGUAUCGGCCUGGUAUCGGGUGAUACGUAAAAUAAUCUAAUUAGAAAAUUCAAAAAAAUAUAAAAAUAUUAUGUAAAUCAUCAGAAAAAUAUAUACAAUUAAAUAAGCUAAAAAAAUUAAAAAAAUAAAAUUGUCUCACAUUUAACAUUAUUUAAAUAGUUAUAAAAGUAUCUACUCAAAGUUAUUUAUGAUAAUGCUAAUAAAAAGAAAGUUAUUUUAUUUCAAAUAUAAUAACAUUAGAAGGUUGUGAUGGGAACAUGUAGGGAUCAAUUCCUUUUGGAGGUAUGCUAGCUUCUUCUCUUACACUGAAGCUACGUGUCAGUCCGCGCUUAAUCCUAGCAUUAGAAGGUUGUGAGGAACUACCACCCUACUGAUGCUCUUGUCCACCUUCUUCAAAAAUUCGACGACUUUCUUUCAUUGCUUGUUUCAUUUGUCUUCUUUCAAAAUCAGCGAUAGCAACUUCCUCAAUUUCAUCAUCAGAAUCACCCUCAUCAAUUUCAUAAAAAUUAUCUCUAUUUAAGGAAUUCAAAAGUCGUUCUUUUUUUUUUUCUUUAAUUGUGCUUUUUCUUUUGAAGUAUUAGACAUAUGUUGUCUAACACUAUGUGACACUUCUACCGGUACACGUGGACAUCCUUCCACUUGUCCAGAUAUAUGUGCGAUGUGUUGCUUUAAUCUUGUUAUACUGUCAUGUAUAACUUUCCCACAAUAUUUACACUUUGUGGUUCUUCUACUACCACCAACAGGUUCUGCAUGCUCCCAACCAAUAUCAUGUUUUGAAGCCAUUUUGAAAUUUUAACCUAACCAUGUAUAAAAGGAAAACAAUUUACUUUUCAAAUUGAAUAUAUAUAAACACAUUUAUAUAAAAAUUAUAAUAUUCAAUUUUCCACUCACUUAUAUGUUUCAUAUUGUUGCCAUAUAAAAAUAAAUUGUACUAAAAAAGCAAUAAACAUGAUCUCACCUAAGUUCAUCAUCUUUUGUUUUCCACUUAUUUAUAUGUUUUUUAAAUUAAAAUCAAUGUAAUUGACCAUGUAAAUGCAUACCCUUCAUUCCGUAUUAUUAAAUCAUUUAUGAUUAUUUGAAGAAAAAAAUUUCAAUAAUGAUUAAUUUUGUAUAGUAAUUUAAUUUUGCGAUAUAGUAUUAAUGUAAUUGAGUAAUAGGGAAAUUUUUUGUCACUAAUAUAAUCUAAAUUUAUUUAUACUAAUAGAAAAUUGAGUGAUAUUUUUAAAGUAUUCAAGACAAUUUCUUGUACAUUAUAUUUUUAAAAAUUUUAAAAUUCAUGAAACAAUUUAAAAUUAUUAAUUAUGUCUUAUUUAGUUUAUAAGACAUAUAGGAAUAAUAUUUGAAAAGAAAUAAUAUAUUAUAUAUAGCAACAAUAUUAAACCAUAUAUAGAGAGUAUAUAUAUUAAUUUGAAAAUGAAUAACAUAUUAUAUAUAUUAUAUUAUAAUAAAAUCAUAGGUUAAUUUUAUUUUAUUUUUAUAAAAAAAAUACUAUUUUAGCAUAUGUUAGAAACAUAAAAAUAUUAACAUCUUUAUCAUUUUUUGGGUUAAAAAUUAAUAAUAAAUAUUUAAACUAAUAAUUUUUCAUAAUAUUUUAUUUAAAUUGAAUAAUUAAUAAAGUUUAACUUUUUAAAAAUGAGUCAAAAUUUUCAUUCCAUGUACUCAUUUAGAAUUGAAUUAUCAACAUAAUAUUAUGAAAAAAAUUAUUUUAUAUGUAAUUAAUUAGAUUGGUUUUUUAAUUUCAAAAUUAUUUUUAAAAAUUAAAAAAUUCAUGAAAUAAUUUAAAACUAUUAAUUAUAUCUUAUUUAGUAUUUGAAAAGAAAUAAUAGAUUAUAUAUAGCAACAUAUUAAACCAUAUAUAAAGAUUAUAUAUAUUAAUUUGAAAAGGAAUAACAUAUUAUAUAUAUGAUAUUAAAUAAAAUUAUAGGUUAAUUUUAUUUUAUUUUUAUAAAAAAAAAUACUAUUUUAGCAUAUGUUAGAAACAUAAAAAUAUUAACAUCUUUAUCAUUUUUUGGGUUAAAAAUUAAUAAUAAAUAUUUAAACUAAUAAUUUUUCAUAAUAUUUUAUUUAAAUUGAAUAAUUAAUAAAGUUUAACUUUUUAAAAAUGAGCAAAAUUUUCAUUCCAUGUACUCAUUUAGAAUUGAAUUAUCAACAUAAUAUUAUAAAAAAUUUUAUUUUAUAUGUAAUUAAUUAGAUUGGUUUUUAAAUUUCAAAAUUAUUUUUAAAAAUUAAAAAAUUCAUGAAAUAAUUUAAAAUUAUUAAUUAUAUCUUAUUUAGUUUAUAAGAUAUAUGGCAACAAUAUUUGAAAAUGAAUAAUAAAUUAUAUAUAGCAACAAUAUUCAAUUAUAUAUAAAGAUUACAUAUAUUAAAUUGAAAAGGAAUAAUAUAUCAUAUAAAUUAGGAAUAAUAUUUAAGAUUUGCAAGACUAAAUCCUAUUAAAUCAAGUAAUAAAAUUCUAACCUAUUCUAUGAUUGAAUUAAAUUAUUCAAUAUUCUAUAUGAAUUUGUUACCUAGGUCAAACGACUCAAACCUCCUCCUGCCCAGGCUGCCCUAACCCCCUCUGUUUCUUCUUCUUCCCCAGCAACACCACGCCUCUAUCUUCUUCUUCUUCCCCAAAACAGCAACAGCCCUAAGCCCUUACACAGCAACACCACGAAGGCCCUCUUCUUCUUCUUCCCCAACUCAGCAGUCAGCAACACCACGAAGAUG
rnacentral:lncRNA from 1 species